rnacentral:rRNA from 1 species
GACGAACGCUGGCGGCGUGCUUAACACAUGCAAGUCGAACGGAAAGGCCCUGCUUUUGUGGGGUGCUCGAGUGGCGAACGGGUGAGUAACACGUGAGUAACCUGCCCUUGACUUUGGGAUAACUUCAGGAAACUGGGGCUAAUACCGGAUAGGAGCUCCUGCUGCAUGGUGGGGGUUGGAAAGUUUCGGCGGUUGGGGAUGGACUCGCGGCUUAUCAGCUUGUUGGUGGGGUAGUGGCUUACCAAGGCUUUGACGGGUAGCCGGCCUGAGAGGGUGACCGGCCACAUUGGGACUGAGAUACGGCCCAGACUCCUACGGGAGGCAGCAGUGGGGAAUAUUGCACGAUGGGCGGAAGCCUGAUGCAGCAACGCCGCGUGCGGGAUGACGGCCUUCGGGUUGUAAACCGCUUUCGCCUGUGACGAAGCGUGAGUGACGGUAAUGUGUAAAGAAGCACCGGCUAACUACGUG